UUACUCUGGUUUCACCUCACUACGCUUAAAUCUUUCGCCUUUUACUAAAGAUUUCCGUGGGGAGGAACAAUUUAAUGAGUCUAUAGACAAUUUUUUCAACCCUACUUAAGAGUAGGGU
rnacentral:snRNA from 1 species